rnacentral:rRNA from 1 species
AGCCCUUCGGGGUGGAUCAGUGGCGAACGGGUGAGUAACACGUGGGCAAUCUGCCCUGCACUCUGGGACAAGCCUUGGAAACGAGGUCUAAUACCGGAUAUUACCCCUGGGGGCAUCCCUGGGGGUGGAAAGCUCCGGCGGUGCAGGAUGAGCCCGCGGCCUAUCAGCUUGUUGGUGGGGUGAUGGCCUACCAAGGCGACGACGGGUAGCCGGCCUGAGAGGGCGACCGGCCACACUGGGACUGAGACACGGCCCAGACUCCUACGGGAGGCAGCAGUGGGGAAUAUUGCACAAUGGGCGAAAGCCUGAUGCAGCGACGCCGCGUGAGGGAUGAAGGCCUUCGGGUUGUAAACCUCUUUCAGCAGGGAAGAAGCGCAAGUGACGGUACCUGCAGAAGAAGCACCGGCUAACUACGUGCCAGCAGCCGCGGUAAUACGUAGGGUGCGAGCGUUGUCCGGAAUUAUUGGGCGUAAAGAGCUCGUAGGCGGCUUGUCACGUCGGAUGUGAAAGCCCGGGGCUUAACCCCGGGUCUGCAUUCGAUACGGGCAGGCUAGAGUGUGGUAGGGGAGAUCGGAAUUCCUGGUGUAGCGGUGAAAUGCGCAGAUAUCAGGAGGAACACCGGUGGCGAAGGCGGAUCUCUGGGCCAUUACUGACGCUGAGGAGCGAAAGCGUGGGGAGCGAACAGGAUUAGAUACCCUGGUAGUCCACGCCGUA